AGAUUAAGUUAUUAAGGGCGCGCGGUGGAUGCCUUGGCACUAGAAGCCGAUGAAGGACGUUACUAACGACGAUAUGCUUUGGGGAGCUGUAAGUAAGCUUUGAUCCAGAGAUUUCCGAAUGGGGAAACCCAGCAUGAGUUAUGUCAUGUUAUCGAUAUGUGAAUACAUAGCAUAUGAGAAGGCACACCCGGAGAACUGAAACAUCUUAGUACCCGGAGGAAGAGAAAGAAAAUUCGAUUCCCUUAGUAGCGGCGAGCGAAACGGGAAGAGCCCAAACCAACAAGCUUGCUUGUUGGGGUUGUAGGACACUCUAUACGGAGUUACAAAGGACGACAUUAGAUGAAUCAUCUGGAAAGAUGAAUCAAAGAAGGUAAUAAUCCUGUAGUCGAAAAUGUUGUCUCUCUUGAGUGGAUCCUGAGUACGACGGAGCACGUGAAAUUCCGUCGGAAUCUGGGAGGACCAUCUCCUAAGGCUAAACACUCUCUAGUGACCGAUAGUGAACCAGUACCGUGAGGGAAAGGUGAAAAGCACCCCGGAAGGGGAGUGAAAUAGAACCUGAAACCGUGUGCUUACAAGUAGUCAGAGCCCGUUAAUGGGUGAUGGCGUGCCUUUUGUAGAAU
rnacentral:rRNA from 1 species